GAAUCUUUUAUUUUAAUGCCUGUAAAGGCUGUUUUUGUAACAAAGAUGGCACACGUGUACAUCAGAUCUUCAUGUGGUUCUGUUGAGCAGAUGAACCGGCUGUUUCUGUCCGACCAGGUUGUUUCAGGGGCAUCCUGUUUCCUGGUGUUCACCUGCUUCCUCACAUCAUCUUUGAGGUGAGUGAAUAUUCAGCGCUGGAGGAAAACGAGCCAGAGCUGUUAACAAGAGCUUGUGAAGGAGAAGGUUUUCUCUGUUGGACCCGGCUGCAGGAACGUCUCAGCAUCCUGCAGGUCCAGCUCUUCAUCGCUGGAUCUGUUCAGACCCUUCCAUGAUACCUGAGCUGCAGGAUAUCC